rnacentral:rRNA from 1 species
GACAGAGGAUGCAAGCGUUAUCCGGAAUGAUUGGGCGUAAAGCGUCUGUAGGUGGCUUUUUAAGUUCGCCGUCAAAUCCCAGGGCUCAACCCUGGACAGGUGGUGGAAACUAACAAGCUAGAGUACGGUAGGGGCAGAGGGAAUUUCCGGUGGAGCGAUGAAAUGCGUAGAGAUCGGAAGGAACACCCAAGGCGAAAGCACUCUGCUGGGCCGACACUGACACUGAGAGACGAAAGCUAGGGGAGCAAAUGGG